rnacentral:lncRNA from 1 species
GAAUUAUUAUCAGGUUAUCACCCUUAUUUUGGAGAAAAAAAUUCAAAUAGCAACGUUCAUAGCCUCUGAACCUGGCACCUCUCUUCUCCUGCUCUCUGUAGGCAUCCAUCCUCUUCUCUAUUGCUAUUGCCGAUCUGAAUUAACCUCUCCGCUGGCGCCGUCAGAAUUAACUGGUCUCUCCGUUGGUGACACGGAUAUCGGCUAUAAAUUUAGCGGACCUGCAGAGAAAGAGUUUUUAACUUACAAGAAGUAGCAACUGCCGAGCAAGCAUUCCUCUCAUUCACUCGCCUCGAGGCAGUUCACAUAUAUGAAUACGGCAGCAAGCAGCGGAGCCAUGAAACUGCAGCCGCACAAGGCUUACAGGACUCGCCAAUCGGGCUCUUCGGCAAAAAGAAACCCAAAUCUGAAUUUAAAUAAACAAUAUUAUUCCUUUGCUUUUGCUGAUUUUAAUUAUCAUUUAUUGUUAUUAUCAUCUAACAGGCAUUUGGUUUUACUUCAUCUGUGAAAGCCAAGCGAUCACAGAUGCGAGCGACAGAGAAAGAGCAACGUCGGCUACACAUUCCGACUAUAGACCGCUCUUAUGGUGAACCACCACCAUAUGUAGUUGUAGUUCAGGAACCACCCAGGUUUUGCAUUAUUAAUUUUGUUUAAAAAAAUAAAUUUCAUUUAUUAUGCCUUAAUUCAGUAAUAAAUUUUGAAAGUUUUAGAUGGUGAUUUUAAUUUAUGAAAUGGUGGUGGCAGAUUGGCUAGUCUUUGUUAGUAAAGUGUCUUAUUAAGCAUUACACUAAGCAUAAAGUACCUGAGGUUCGAGGACCUAUUAGUGUUGUAUCAGGUUAGGUUUGAUCUAGUUUAUGUAAUUUCUUUGUUAGAUUUGAAAUACAAUGGAAUUCA